rnacentral:rRNA from 1 species
CCUACGGGAGGCAGCAGUGGGGAAUUUUGGACAAUGGGGGCAACCCUGAUCCAGCCAUGCCGCGUGAGUGAAGAAGGCCUUCGGGUUGUAAAGCUCUUUCGGUGGGAACGAAACGGAUGCGGCCAACACCUGCAUUCAAUGACGGUACUCACAGAAGAAGCACCGGCUAACUACGUGCCAGCAGCCGCGGUAAUACGUAGGGUGCGAGCGUUAAUCGGAAUUACUGGGCGUAAAGCGUGCGCAGGCGGUUUCACAAGCUCGAUGUGAAAGCCCCGGCUUAACCUGGGAAUUGCAUUGAGGACUGUGGAGCUAGAGUGCGGCAGAGGGAGGUGGAAUUCCACGUGUAGCAGUGAAAUGCGUAGAGAUGUGGAGGAACACCGAUGGCGAAGGCAGCCUCCUGGGCCGACACUGACGCUCAUGCCCGAAAGCGUGGGGAGCAAACAGGAUUAGAUACCCUGGUAGUCCACGCCCUAAACGAUGUCCAACUGGUUGUUGGGGAAGGUAACUUCCUUAGUAACGAAGCUAACGCGUGAAGUUGACCGCCUGGGGAGUACGGCCGCAAGGUUAAAACUCAAAGGAAUUGACGG